rnacentral:rRNA from 1 species
AUUGAACGCUGGCGGCAUGCCUUACACAUGCAAGUCGAACGGCAGCACGGGGCAACCUGUGGCGAGUGGCGAACGGGUGAGUAAUGCAUCGGAACGUACCUUUCAGUGGGGGAUAACGUAGCGAAAGUUACGCUAAUACCGCAUAUUCUGUGAGCAGGAAAGCAGGGGAUCGCAAGACCUUGCGCUGAUUGAGCGGCCGAUGUCAGAUUAGCUAGUUGGUGAGGUAAAGGCUCACCAAGGCGACGAUCUGUAGCGGGUCUGAGAGGAUGAUCCGCCACACUGGAACUGAGACACGGUCCAGACUCCCACGGGAGGCAGCAGUGGGGAAUUUUGGACAAUGGGGGCAACCCUGAUCCAGCCAUGCCGCGUGAGUGAAGAAGGCCUUCGUGUUGUAAAGCUCUUUCGGCCGGGAAGAAAUCGCACGGGCUAAUACCCUGUGUGGAUGACGGUACCGGAAUAAGAAGCACCGGCUAACUACGUGCCAGCCGCCGCGGUAAGAC